rnacentral:rRNA from 1 species
GAACGUUAUUAGUAGGAAAUGGCUAAUAAGUGACGGUACUUACCAGAAGGGACGGCUAACUACGUGCCAGCAGCCGCGGUAAUACGUAGGUCCCGAGCGUUAUCCGGAAUUAUUGGGCGUAAAGGGCACGUAGGCGGACAAAUAAGUUUGAUGUCAAAUAUGAUGGCUCAACCAUCAAGAGGCGUUGAAAACUGUUUAUCUAGAAUCUCGGAGAGGUAAGUGGAAUUCCAUGUGUAGCGGUGGAAUGCGUAGAUAUAUGGAGGAACACCAAUGGCGAAGGCAGCUUACUGGACGAAGAUUGACGCUGAGGUGCGAAAGCGUGGGUAGCAAACAGGAUUAGAUACCCUGGUAG